GGGAUGCGUUCCAUUAGUUUGUUGGCGGGGUAACGGCCCACCAAGACUACGAUGGAUAGGGGUUCUGAGAGGAAGGUCCCCCACAUUGGAACUGAGACACGGUCCAAACUCCUACGGGAGGCAGCAGUGAGGAAUAUUGGUCAAUGGACGAGAGUCUGAACCAGCCAAGUAGCGUGAAGGAUGACUGCCCUAUGGGUUGUAAACUUCUUUUAUAUGGGAAUAAAGUAUUCCACGUGUGGGAUUUUGUAUGUACCAUAUGAAUAAGGAUCGGCUAACUCCGUGCCAGCAGCCGCGGUAAUACGGAGGAUCCGAGCGUUAUCCGGAUUUAUUGGGUUUAAAGGGAGCGUAGGUGGAUUGUUAAGUCAGUUGUGAAAGUUUGCGGCUCAACCGUAAAAUUGCAGUUGAAACUGGCAGUCUUGAGUACAGUAGAGGUGGGCGGAAUUCGUGGUGUAGCGGUGAAAUGCUUAGAUAUCACGAAGAACUCCGAUUGCGAAGGCAGCUCACUAGACUGCAACUGACACUGAUGCUCGAAAGUGUGGGUAUCAAACAGGAUUAGAUACCCUGGUAGUCCACACAGUAAACGAUGAAUACUCGCUGUUUGCGAUAUACAGUAAGCGGCCAAGCGAAAGCAUUAAGUAUUCCACCUGGGGAGUACGCCGGCAACGGUGAAACUCAAAGGAAUUGACGGGGGCCCGCACAAGCGGAGGAACAUGUGGUUUAAUUCGAUGAUACGCGAGGAACCUUACCCGGGCUUAAAUUGCAUUUGAAUAAUCUGGAAACAGGUUAGCCGCAAGGCAAAUGUGAAGGUGCUGCAUGGUUGUCGUCAGCUCGUGCCGUGAGGUGUCGGCUUAAGUGCCAUAACGAGCGCAACCCUUAUCUUUAGUUACUAACAGGUCAUGCUGAGGACUCUAGAGAGACUGCCGUCGUAAGAUGUGAGGAAGGUGGGGAUGACGUCAAAUCAGCACGGCCCUUACGUCCGGGGCUACACACGUGUUACAAUGGGGGG
rnacentral:rRNA from 1 species